rnacentral:pre_miRNA from 1 species
AGUGUGAUUACUGAUCACAUGGUAAGAACAUGUUUAGUUUUUUUUAUUUUUAGAAAUUGCCAAACUAUUUUCCAAAUUGGCUGUACAAAUUUGCAUUUCCACCAGCAGU